rnacentral:misc_RNA from 1 species
GAUGAAAACGCAGCGAAAUGCGAUACGUAUUGUGAAUUGCAAAUUCAGUGAAUCAUCGAGUCUUUGAACGCACAUUGCGCCCCCUGGUAUUCCGGGGGGCAUGCCUGUCCGAGCGUCAUUGCUGCCCUCAAGCACGGCUUGUGUGUUGGGCCCCGUCCUCCGAUCCCGGGGGACGGGCCCGAAAGGCAGCGGCGGCACCGCGUCCGGUCCUCGAGCGUAUGGGGCUUUGUCACCCGCUCUGUAGGCCCGGCCGGCGCUUGCCGAUCAACCCAAAUUUUUAUCCAGGUUGACCUCGGAUCAGGUAGGGAUACCCGCUGAACUUAAGCAUAUCAAUAAGCGGAGGA